UUUUUUUUUUCUUAUAAAUUUAUCUAACAAAUUGUUCUUAUAAAAAACUUCGAAACUACUAAGAAAUAUUGCCAGAAACAUGGCUUACAUCUCUAGAAUUUUUUAUGUUUUGAUCAUCUUCCUUAGUCUUUUUUUUGUUGUAAUUAAUGGUGUUAAGUCAUUGCUCUUAAUUAAAGUUAGAAGUUUUAUCCCUUGCCAGAGAAGUGAUGAUUGCCCAAGAAAUCUAUGUGUGGAUCAAAUAAUUCCAACAUGUGUUUGGGCUAAAUGUAAGUGCAAAAAUUACAAUGAUUGAGGUGAAAACCAAGAGAGUCUGACUUCUCUCUAGAGAGUCUCCCAGUGCUCCAUUCCUAACCUAGCUUUGCUUGGGUUAGCCACCACCUACCCCACAUCCGGCGUCGAUCGACCUCCUCCGGUGCCCCUUCCUUUGUAGACCUGGCAUCUAAUUCAUCCUUCCUUUUUAUCUGCAAUUGGUGGUCUUUUUUAGUUGUUUCUCUUCUUUUAUGUUUUAGUUUUUUUUUGGUACAAUGUUUUAGUUAUUUUUUAGUUGGUCUUUUAAUGUUUUUUGUGACCUGUUGCUUUUCUGGUUACAUAUUUGUGUUGUCAAUCUCUCAAACUUCAGAUCUGAACCAAAAAGUUUGAACCUUUAAACCCUUAUGAAAUCACAUGCUUCUUCAGACCCUCUUUCCAUAAUCAUGAUCCUUGUGGGUUGCUUAAACCUAAUCCUCUACUUACAUGUGGUUAAUAGCUUAUGUGCAUUGUUGGAAUGCUUUUAUGGUUGCUUUCUAAUACUUUUAUGGUUGGAAUGCUAAUUCUGGUGGGAGAUUUUAUUUUUCUAGAGAUUAAUUUUAGCUAUCGUGCAUUGUUUUUUGCUUGUCGCGUUUUGUUAUAGUUGUUUCUCUUCAUUCCUUGCUGGCCAAGUUAGCUGAGAUUUAGUAGAUGUACAAGUCAGAAGCAAGUCUUGUGCUUUAAAGUUCUAUUUGUUUGAUUUUGCAAAAAUCCUGUACUUUCCCCAAUGGUGGGUAGUGAUCUACACAUGGUGUAAUAUGUGGCUAUUAUAACUUCUUGAAUGAAUGAAAUACUUCCUUUGACCAAAAAAUAAAAUAAAAUUGAAAAGCAAAUCUAUAUUAUUCAAUGGUUAAGCUAAGCUGAAACCCAAUACUCCGUUGAGGGUCACUUUUAUCGAAAUGAUUAGGUAUAUAACCCGUGCGUUGCACAUGUUUAAUUAGAGUAUGUACUUGAAAUAUUUUUACAAAUGAAAAUAAUAAUAAUUGUGAUAAGCAUAAUCAGAUAGAGUUAAAUGAUUGAUAAUGUUUUUCUACAACAAAAAAAAAAGAUUGAUAAUGUUCUAAAAUACAAUGGUAUUGUUGUGUUUAAUAUUAUUUUAUAUUAAAUAUAAGAGGUUUGUUUAGAAACUAUAUAAGAGUUCAUAUUUGUUUUCCUUAAAAAAAAAUUCAUAUUUGUUUAAAUAUUUUAAGGAUAAUUAGUAUAGUUUUUGGCGGGUCAUGUUAAUAUUUCAUAAGUUUGAAGAUGUAUC
rnacentral:lncRNA from 1 species